rnacentral:lncRNA from 1 species
UUGAUGUCCAUUUUGGAGAUGCACUUGUUCAUAUCUUUUGUGUACUAGUUCAUUGGUCUGUUCUCUUGAUUAUUUUGAGAAACUUAAAAAUUAUUUUGAGAAAUGACCAUUCAUACUUCAAAUAUUGAUUUUACGCUGUUUUUUCACUAGGGUGAAAAACAAAAAUGCUGAUUAGAAGAAAAGUAUGUUCAUGACCUUGAAGUGGGCAGAUAGUUGUUAAACACGGAUUUGAAGAAUACAAUUUCAUAAGGAUGAAGUCUCGAGGAUCAUUAAAGGGAUGCUACUGCUAUGCCUCUCUCCAUGAGCCUGCAGCUGGAUGUUUCAGCUAAGCUCUCUGCCUGUCAAUCCCCUGAGAUCUACUCCCUGCCUCACCCCCAUGCUCAUGUUACAGGAACGGGUGGAAGGAUAUCUAGCUGAAUUGAAAUUGACAAAACUGGGUAACUCAGACAGGGCAGCCUCCGGAGAGGCCUUUAACCACAAAAGAGGUAUUGAAGUCAAUAUAAUCAAUAGAGUGUUGUGGAUGCAGGAGGAAGAUGAUGAAACCCAUCAAAUUUGAUCACUGGGCAGGAGUGGUCAGUGUCAGCUUCUUAAAGAAGGCUCACUUAAUGUCACCCUCCACUCAAAGCUUUCCACACCUAUGCUAAUACUAUAGGCUGCAUGGCUUGCACUGCCUUGAGCACUCAGGAACCUCUGCAUUGUAGAUGUAUACAUUUCCUGAACUUCUAGGUUUUAGAACUUUCAUUUCAAGUGUCCAUUUCAAUUAGUCAUUACUCACCUCUCUGAAGGCUUGUUCAAUCAUUCAUUAGUUUGUUCUGCUGUAAUUUAUCCAUAGUAACUUUUGGGAAAUCUGACCAGAGGAUCCUUGCCACUUUUCUUCUCAAGAGGUAGAGUCUGUUUCCCCAUCCUAACUCCUGAUGUGUUCUAAAAGUACAAGGCCAUGAUCCUUUAAGUCAUAGCCAAGUUCCAAUGUUGACAGCAGCCAUGAUGGCUAGAGGAGAGAGAAA